UGUUCUGUGGGGAGAACUUUGCCCCGUCUCGCAGAAUGGGGCCGGGCGCUCCUCGGGCUCCUCCCGAGCCCCAGCGGCGCCGGGUGCCGGGACGGCGCGCUUCGCUCCCUGGCGGCUGCAGCUAUUUUUAGCACUAGCCACCGAACCGUGGUGCUAUUUUUAGCUGUCGGCGGUUCCCACCUAGCAGAAGAGGAAGACAUGGAAGCAUCUCAGAACGAAAUUGAGCACAGCGCUGGGGAUGCUGCUCUGACACACGGUGUUACUCUUCGUGCUGUUCUGAUUGGGUUGCUUCGAGUUAGACAAAGUCUCUCCUUGCCAGUAGUAAGGUUGUAGCUUCGAAACAAGCCGAAUGUUAAAUUACAGAUGCUGCAGGAUUCAGAAGAACAGACACGUGAUUCCAUGUUCUUUGGUCACCUCUUACUUGUUAUCAUGUCUCUGUGGAAUGGGAGACGUCUGACAGAAAACAGGUUUAGGCAUGUUCCAAAAAAAUCUGUAGUUUUGAAAAGAUAGAUUCUGUGAUGGUGUAUUGAGUAAAUCCCUCUUAGUUUGUGGAUUAUUGGUCUGACAGGCAGGAACUUCCUGAGAUUCAUUCUGCUUUAUCACGUCAGGCCAGCUGCUGUGCACGUGUUCCAGAUCUGUGCACUCAAAAAGAAUUUGUGCACUGAAAGAAUAUGGGAGUAUGUGAGGGGAGCUGUGUUGUUAAUGAAAGCAGGAUUUCACUCUGUGACAACUGAGAUGCUGGUUUUACUUGUCUGUUCUCAUGACCGGCUGCCUGAUUAUUUGGUAGCCCGUUUAAAAUUCAUCUGGGGGGAACUUCUUGAUCCCUGGCUUUGCUACAAGCUGUACAGUGAAGCUGGCAUACAACUUUCUAAGGCUCAGCCAGGUCAUUCAAGUAGAUUGCACACUUUUCUUUCAUUCAGCUGAAAUACAGGAGCACCAAAGAUGAUUCCAACCCCCCUACCCCACCCCCGUGGUUGCCAUUGAUCUAAAUUCCAAAAGCUGUAUCUUGCUUUCAUUGACAGAAACUGCUCUCACUAAAGCUGGUAGGGCUACACCGUGUGAUACUUAACAUGAGAUGAGAAUCAGACUCCAGCAGGUCAAGUCACCAUUUGACUACCUUUGUUUCUUGAGAUUUUCUGAUGAAUGGAGGAAGGGUAGAGUUACCCACAUCACUGGGGGUUAUUCCAGGGGGAAAAAAUAAGGGUAAUAUUCUCCUCCCCCUUAAUAAGUAUGAACUUCUCCACUUCAAUGGGGAGUUUAUAACAGAUGCUUCUGGUAACAAGUCUGAAAUAAAUGUGGUGCCUGUUCUCUGGAAACAUAACUGAAUCAUGGGGUUUUCUGUCUGUGCGUAUUUACUACUGUAGUUUCUGUGUAAUCCCUCUUGAAUCUUGACACAAUCACUUAUUCAUUCUUACUGCAUCUCUCAUUCUUGCCUUUUCUGUCACAGUGGCUGUUAUGAACUGCAACAAACUUGCAACAGUUUUCUCCUACAGCUAGGAAAAGAGCGUUCUUCUGAAUACAAAUUACUUUAGGCUGGAAUAUGAACCAGAUGCUGUUCUACACUCUGAAGUAAACAACUGUUGAAAACAAGUAGAUGCUUAGUAUAUGAUGGGAAAUGUACACUCUGUUUUAGGGGGAAAAAACAGUAAAAGUAACUUUGAAGUACCUGAUCAGGUAGGUUACAAGUCCUUUUCCUCAAGAGAAAGAUUCUUAUUACGUGGAUAAAAAGAAACUUUACAAAGACAAUGCUAAGCCUCAAAAAUAUCUGCAAACUGUCUAAUCUGACAAAAACCUGUACCUGGGUCUAAUUUCAUUUAUGUGAAUGCUGCUGCUAAUCUAGGCAUUGAAUUCAUAAGUGUUGAUUCAGGUGGAUAAAUCUACGAGUAAGCAUAACGCUUUAGAAAACUCUGAACCCUGUGAGUAGGAAGAAGUGUUCUAAUUUUGAUAACAGUAAUUCAGGUUAUUCAAGAAGAGAUUACAUUGAAAAAGUAUAAUCUAAUUUACACAUAUAAUUUGCAAGUUAAUUAAUUGUAAAGAUGGGUACAGUUUUUUUUACAGAGCUAUAACAAUAAAGGAAUUGUUGACUUUACAAACUUUACAACAUCCUGUGUUAAUAAGUCUUGCUGGCACAUUUAUUGAGGAUAAAGGACUCAGGAUGAAAAUUCCACUGGAGAAAGGUCAGGGAGGAACAGAAGAUCCCUCCUGAAGAAAAUAUCUUAUUGAAGACACUCUUCUUUUUAUUUAUUUUUUAUUUUUUUAUUUUUUGCAAGAAAGGACUAACAGAAAUAAGGAUUAUUUAAUACUUUAUCAAAAAGGUGGAUUUGGGGGAUUCAUCUUUGCAUCUCUAUUAUAAAAAUAUAUAUAUAUUUGGAAGAUUUCUGCAAAUUGAACCUGUGGAUGUAUGUUUUUAAAAAAUGCACUGGGAAAUAGUAGACUAGAAAAAACCACCUCAACAAGUGGUAUAACCUUCUUGACAGUCAGAAGGUUAGUAAAAGACACUGAUCAAAGCAGUGGAGUCAGUAUCUCAAAGAAGUUUGUUUCAGCAAGUGAGGAGUUUCUGAGACUACAGACUCCUUCAUAGUCACAAGCAUGGCUUCAGUAGAUGCUCUUCUAGACAAAGAAGCUGAUGAUACAACUGGUGAUCCUUGGACUUAUUUUUGUGUCCUGAGAGAAAAUGGGUAGCCUGACAAGUAUUUGACUCAAGAGAUAACUUACAGAAGAUCAAGUUGUAGCACAAAUUCAGGGUUCUGAUGAAAACUGAGAUGCUGAUGGCAUUAUUUCAGACAUGAAUAACUUCAGGUAUUAAAAAUGGUAAGCCGACUGGGAGGGGAGAAAAUGUCUAGAGGAGAAGCCAAACCCUGGCAAUUGUUGAAGUUUAAAUAAAGCUGUUCCUCAGAGUGGUUUUGAUGAAUAAUUUAUUGAAUCAAGGGUUUUCUGGAAAACUGCUUAAAUGGCACCAUCCUGCCAGUGACCAAAGAUACAGAUGAGUAUUUCAAAUAAUUAAUAUUCCAUGCUUACUAAUACAUCUGUCAAAGCCGGACAUGGUAGUGCUUCUUCUGGUUUGCUGCUGCCAGCGCAUACUUCCAUACAAUACUGUUUUCUGGCCAUUUUUAGUUGUUUUGGAAGGGGUUCCCCUUCUUCUUCUUUAAGAUGGUUUAACAUCUUUAAUCUCUUCAUUAGCCAUUUUGUAUCUGCUUCCUUUUUAAUUUCUUUUUCAAUUAGUUGCUUUCCUUUCCUGUUAGUGUUAUUUCAAGUGUUUCUAGCCAAAGCCAUAAGCAGCAAGUCUGGUUUGUUGACAGUAGUGCUACUGAUGAUGUGCUUUUAAUGCUAAUAGGACAAUAUCCAACCUUUUUGUAUAAUAAGGUUGGUAGGAUGAUAACAAUUGCUGUAUUAGUGUUACAGACUCAUUCUGCAACCUGAGUAAAAUCUUGGCACCCUUGCUGUUUAUAGUUUUUCUUCUCAUAACAGUGAGCUGCCUCAAAUUCCACAUUAACUUUGUUUUCCUGAGUAAUGAUCCCCGAAUUCUGUUUCAGCAAGAUGAGUGUUACCAAGAGUUCUUCAGGAUAACAGAACACAGCCUUAAUGUUAUUUAAUUAAAAAAAAAAAAAAAAAAAAA